rnacentral:lncRNA from 1 species
UGUGUGUUGCAUUUUAACGUUGAGUCGUUUGUGUUUUCUCUUAUUUUUAAGAUAUUGAGAUAAGACGUAGCACGGUACUUGUCUAUCCCAAAUUCAUGUAUUUGGUUUUUAUGUUAUGCUUGUUAUUCUCGUGGUGUUUUGUCUGAAGCUUGGUCCGUUUCUGUGUGUGUUACGUUUCGGUGUUAUGUCGUUGUUCUCCUCUUAUAUUUAAUGCG